rnacentral:rRNA from 1 species
ACGGGAGGCAGCAGUCGGGAAUAUUGCACAAUGGAGGAAACUCUGAUGCAGUGACGCCGCGUAUAGGACGAAGGUUUUCGGAUUGUAAACUAUUUUAGACAGGGACGAUAAAAGACGGUACCUGUAGAAUAAGCCCCGGCUAACUAUGUGCCAGCAGCCGCGGUAAUACAUAGGGGGCAAGCGUUAUCCGGAUUUAUUGGGCGUAAAGGGUGCGUAGACGGGAGAAUAAGUUAGUUGUGAAAUCCCUCGGCUUAACUGAGGAACUGCAACUAAAACUAUUUUUCUUGAGUGCAGGAGAGGAAAGUGGAAUUCCUAGUGUAGCGGUGAAAUGCGUAGAUAUUAGGAGGAACACCAGUGGCGAAGGCGACUUUCUGGACUGCAACUGACGUUGAGGCACGAAAGUGUGGGGAGCAAACAGGAUUAGAUACCCUGGUA